rnacentral:rRNA from 1 species
UACGUAGGGUGCGAGCGUUGUCCGGAAUUAUUGGGCGUAAAGAGCUCGUAGGCGGUUUGUCGCGUCUGCUGUGAAAAUCCGGGGCUCAACCCCGGACUUGCAGUGGGUACGGGUAGACUAGAGUGUGGUAGGGGAGACUGGAACUCCUGGUGUAGCGGUGAAAUGCGCAGAUAUCAGGAGGAACACCGAUGGCGAAGGCAGGUCUCUGGGCCACUACUGACGCUGAGAAGCGAAAGCAUGGGGAGCGAACAGGAUUAGAUACCCGU